rnacentral:RNase_P_RNA from 1 species
GGAGUCGGCCAGACGAUCGCUGCUGCGGCAACGCAGGGGAGGAAAGUCCGGGCUCCGCAGGGCAGAGUGCCAGGUAACGCCUGGGCGCCGCGAGGCGACGGAAAGUGCAACAGAGAGCAAACCGCCGAUGGCUCCGCAAGGAGAUCAGGCAAGGGUGAAACGGUGCGGUAAGAGCGCACCGCGAGUCUGGCAACAGACCGGCACGGCAAACCCCACUCGGAGCAAGACCAAAUAGGGAAGGGCGCAGAUUCAUUUCUGCACUGCGCGGCCCGCGCAGCCUUCCGGGUAGGUUGCUUGAGGCCUGUGGCGACGCAGGUCCUAGAGGAAUGAUCGUUCUCGACAGAACCCGGCUUACCGGCCGACUCCCACC